NUUGACCUCAGCUCAGUCGUGAUUACCCGCUGAAUUUAAGCAUAUAACUAAGCGGAGGAAAAGAAACUAACGAGGAUUUCCUUAGUAACGGCGAGUGAAAAGGAAAAAGCCCAACGCUGAAUCCAA
rnacentral:rRNA from 1 species